rnacentral:rRNA from 1 species
AGAGAGAGACAUGCGCGCAUAUCAAUAAGCGGAGGAAAAGAAACUAACAAGGAUUCCCUUAGUAACGGCGAGUGAAGCGGGAAGAGCUCAAAUUUGAAAUCUUCAAGGUUUUACCUUGACGAAUUGUAGUUUAAAGAAGUGUUUUCUGCUGAAGUUUUGGUAAAAGUUCUUUGGAAUAGGACAUCAUAGAGGGUGAGAAUCCCGUAUUUGACCAUUAUUUUCAGCUUUGUGAUACACUUUCAAAGAGUCGGAUUGUUUGGGAAUGCAGUCCAAAAUGGGUAGUAAAUUUCAUCUAAAGCUAAAUAUUGGCGAGAGACCGAUAGCGAACAAGUACCGUGAGGGAAAGAUGAAAAGAACUUUGAAAAGAGAGUUAAACAGUACGUGAAAUUGUCAAAAGGGAAGCGUUUGACACCAGUGUUGUUUUCUCGAAAAUCAAUUAAAAAUGGCUCGAUUUUGUAUUGUUGAGACCUUAAAAGCUCACUGUACAUUUUUCGUGUCUUUUUUAAUGCACUUUUCGUUUAACAAGUCAACAUCAGUUUCUUUUGUUGUAAAAGGGUCAUUGGAAGGUGGCUUUCUUUUCGGAGAAAGUGUUUAUAGCCUUUGGCCUCUGCAAUCGGAAGAGACUGAGGUCUGCAGCGUAGACUCUUCGGGGUUAGAUACAUUUGUGCUAAGUUAUAGCUUUUUAUAGACAACUUGUUGACUAUAAUUAGUCUUGUAGCUUACUCGCUUAUGCUAUUUUACCUACGCUUAGGAUGUUGAAGAUGUAGCACAUCAU